AGUAAGUACCUUAAGGGAGCCACAGACCCCCUGCUACGCUGCCCGCGUGCCCAACUUGGUCCCCGGGGGAAGCCCCUUCCUCUUCCCUUGGUUGCCAAGGCGACCCCUGGGACUCGCAGGGCCGCCCUGGGGGCUUCUCAGCUGCAGGUCUGCGGCCCUGCCUGGCCCGACCCCCGAGGACUCUGCCUCCCUCUUGGCCACUCUGGGGGCUUCGAUCCAGGAUGACCACGUCGCCCUAACGGUCCCCGACAGACAAGAGGAACUCAGUGCAGUGAGCGCCCUUGAGUCAGGCGCCGAGCUGCUACCUGCGUCCGCCCUGCCCCGGGGCUCCCCUUCCCCAGCGUCCCGGGACCACCGCCUGGAAGCUCUAAGCCCGGGGGAAGGGCCGGCUGCGUUAGGGCCGCUCACUGGGCGAGGGGCUGGUUCCCCUAAAUAGUCAGCUCCAGUCUUCACAACAGCCUUGUGGGUUUUCCAGCCCACCCCUCCUCUCACAAAGAGGAAAGGGUACAGAGCUUGCAACUGGUGGAGCGAAGGUUCGCAUCCAGGCUGAAUAACUCCAGACGCAUGGGGCAUGGUCCCGCUCUAGGAUGGCGCCUUCAGACAUAAGGCAGCAGAUCAAAAUGAGAAUAAAAGAACACAUGUAAGGAUUCACAGAGAUUAAGGGGACAUGGCUAAAUGCAAUGUCAUGUCCUGGACCAAACUGUGGGACAGCAAAAGGACAUUAGGAGGAAAACUGAUGAAAUCUAAAUAAAGAAAAAAAAAAAAAAGAAAUCUGAAUAAAGCCUGCACAAUAGGCUCACCUUGGCCCCCUGGUGAUGAGGUGGGCCAUGUGACAUGUUCUGGCCGAUAAACUGUGGACAAAAAGUGACACAUGUCACUUCCAGGCCGGAACAGUUAAUUAACUGCAGGAGACCCUCCAAAUCCUUUUUUCCCUUUGGACACAAUAGUCAUAAACAAGAUGGUGGCUACCACCUUAUACUGAGUUUCUUUGUGGCCACAAUGAACAGCAUCCCCAUAUUGACCCACAAUGAACAUGGAGCA